UGCAGUCGAACGAGUUCUCGUUGAUGAUCGGUGCUUGCACCGAGAUUCAACAUGGAACGAGUGGCGGACGGGUGAGUAACACGUGGGUAACCUGCCCUUAAGUGGGGGAUAACAUUUGGAAACAGAUGCUAAUACCGCAUAGAUCCAAGAACCGCAUGGUUCUUGGCUGAAAGAUGGCGUAAGCUAUCGCUUUUGGAUGGACCCGCGGCGUAUUAGCUAGUUGGUGAGGUAAUGGCUCACCAAGGCGAUGAUACGUAGCCGAACUGAGAGGUUGAUCGGCCACAUUGGGACUGAGACACGGCCCAAACUCCUACGGGAGGCAGCAGUAGGGAAUCUUCCACAAUGGACGCAAGUCUGAUGGAGCAACGCCGCGUGAGUGAAGAAGGCUUUCGGGUCGUAAAACUCUGUUGUUGGAGAAGAAUGGUCGGCAGAGUAACUGUUGUCGGCGUGACGGUAUCCAACCAGAAAGCCACGGCUAACUACGUGCCAGCAGCCGCGGUAAUACGUAGGUGGCAAGCGUUAUCCGGAUUUAUUGGGCGUAAAGCGAGCGCAGGCGGUUUUUUAAGUCUGAUGUGAAAGCCCUCGGCUUAACCGAGGAAGUGCAUCGGAAACUGGGAAACUUGAGUGCAGAAGAGGACAGUGGAACUCCAUGUGUAGCGGUGAAAUGCGUAGAUAUAUGGAAGAACACCAGUGGCGAAGGCGGCUGUCUGGUCUGUAACUGACGCUGAGGCUCGAAAGCAUGGGUAGCGAACAGGAUUAGAUACCCUGGUAGUCCAUGCCGUAAACGAUGAAUGCUAGGUGUUGGAGGGUUUCCGCCCUUCAGUGCCGCAGCUAACGCAUUAAGCAUUCCGCCUGGGGAGUACGACCGCAAGGUUGAAACUCAAAGGAAUUGACGGGGGCCCGCACAAGCGGUGGAGCAUGUGGUUUAAUUCGAAGCAACGCGAAGAACCUUACCAGGUCUUGACAUCUUUUGAUCACCUGAGAGAUCAGGUUUCCCCUUCGGGGGCAAAAUGACAGGUGGUGCAUGGUUGUCGUCAGCUCGUGUCGUGAGAUGUUGGGUUAAGUCCCGCAACGAGCGCAACCCUUAUGACUAGUUGCCAGCAUUUAGUUGGGCACUCUAGUAAGACUGCCGGUGACAAACCGGAGGAAGGUGGGGAUGACGUCAAAUCAUCAUGCCCCUUAUGACCUGGGCUACACACGUGCUACAAUGGAUGGUACAACGAGUUGCGAGACCGCGAGGUCAAGCUAAUCUCUUAAAGCCAUUCUCAGUUCGGACUGUAGGCUGCAACUCGCCUACACGAAGUCGGAAUCGCUAGUAAUCGCGGAUCAGCACGCCGCGGUGAAUACGUUCCCGGGCCUUGUACACACCGCCCGUCACACCAUGAGAGUUUGUAACACCCGAAGCCGGUGGCGUAACCCUUUUAGGGAGCGAGCC
rnacentral:rRNA from 2 species